GCCUGGGUGGCUCAGUCGGUUAAGCGUCUGACUUCAGCUCAGGUCACGAUCUCGCAGUCUGUGAGUUCGAGCCCCGCGUCGGGCU
rnacentral:tRNA from 1 species